GAGAGGAUGAUCAGCCACACUGGAACUGAGACACGGUCCAGACUCCUACGGGAGGCAGCAGUGGGGAAUAUUGGACAAUGGGCGCAAGCCUGAUCCAGCCAUGCCGCGUGGGUGAAGAAGGCCUUCGGGUUGUAAAGCCCUUUUGUUGGGAAAGAAAAGCAGCCGGUUAAUACCCGGUUGUUCUGACGGUACCCAAAGAAUAAGCACCGGCUAACUUCGUGCCAGCAGCCGCGGUAAUACGAAGGGUGCAAGCGUUACUCGGAAUUACUGGGCGUAAAGCGUGCGUAGGUGGUUGUUUAAGUCCGUUGUGAAAGCCCUGGGCUCAACCUGGGAAUUGCAGUGGAUACUGGGCAACUAGAGUGUGGUAGAGGAUGGCGGAAUUCCCGGUGUAGCAGUGAAAUGCGUAGAGAUCGGGAGGAACAUCUGUGGCGAAGGCGGCCAUCUGGACCAACACUGACACUGAGGCACGAAAGCGUG
rnacentral:rRNA from 1 species